rnacentral:ncRNA from 1 species
CCGAAGCCCUGUCCUCGAAAGCCGAAGCCCUCCUGCCCGGCCCGCCCCCCCUCCCCUCUCUUUCUGGUAUUUGCUCUGGUCAGGUCCUGCUUCUGCGGUUGCCGUUGCCUGGCCCUCAUUGUCUGAUGCAAGGAAGUUUGAGGCAAUAAUGGAACAUGUCUGUGAUGAGCUGCACAUGCACUACACUGAUGCGCUCAGCGAGUUUGCAAUCUUGCCUGAAAUGAACGGGUAAAUCUUUUCAAAAUGCAGCAUGAUUUGCCCAGUGAUGGCAGGGAUAUUGAUUUCAACGACGAAGUCCUCGUAAGCGCGAGUCAUCAACUCGUGCUGAUUACGUCCCUGCUUUUUGUACACAGGCCCCGUAGCUCCUACCGAUUGACUGAGGUGAUCCGGUGAAUUAUUC